CCCUUAGAUGUUCUGGGCUGCACGCGCGCUACACUGAUGCGUUCAACGAGCUUGCUGCUUCGAGAGGGGUGGCGAAUCUGUGAAACCGCAUCGUGAUGGGGAUAGACCCUUGCAAUUUUCGGUCUUAAACGAGGAAUUCCUAGUAAGCGCGAGUCAUCAACUCGCGUUGAUUACGUCCCUGCCCUUUGUACACACCGCCCGUCGCACCUACCGAUUGAAUGGUCCGGUGAAAUCUCGGGACGGCGGCUUGGUCGCUUGCGUCCGACUGCUGAAACUUGAUUAAACCAUAUCAUUUAGAGGAAGGUGAAGUCGUAACA
rnacentral:rRNA from 1 species